GAUGAACGCUGGCGGCGUGCCUAAUACAUGCAAGUCGAGCGAACGGACGAGAAGCUUGCUUCUCUGAUGUUAGCGGCGGACGGGUGAGUAACACGUGGAUAACCUACCUAUAAGACUGGGAUAACUUCGGGAAACCGUAGCUAAUACCGGAUAAUAUUUUGAACAGCAUGGUUCAAAAGUGAAAGACGGUCUUGCUGUCACUUAUAGAUGUAUCCGCGCUGCAUUAGCUAGUUGGUAAGGUAACGGCUUACCAAGGCAACGCUGCAUAGCCGACCUGAGAGGGUGAUCUGCCACACUGGAACUGAGACACGGUCCAGACUCCUACGGGAGGCAGCAGUAGGGAAUCGUCCGCAAUGGGCGAAAGCCUGACGGAGCAACGCCGCGUGAGUGAUGAAGGUCUUCGGAUCGUAAAACUCUGUUAUUAGGGAAGAACAUAUGUGUAAGUAACUGUGCACAUCUUGACGGUACCUAAUCAGAAAGCCACGGCUAACUACGUG
rnacentral:rRNA from 1 species